CUACUCUUAUAAUGUCCAGCACAGGGUUUUGACCACCCUGAGGACAUGGUGCCUUGCCCCAAGAACUUUGAUUCCAGAAUGACUGGAGGACUGG
ensembl:snoRNA LOC120100474 small nucleolar RNA SNORD88